AGGAGGCAGCACCCUUGGGGCAGCACAACAUGACCUGGGCUCUGCUCCUGCUUAUGUUCCUCACUGAGGGCACAGGGACCUGGGCCCAGUCUGCUCUGACUCAGCCUCCCACAGCCUCUGGGUCUCUUGGAGAGGAGGUCACCAUCUCCUGUAUUGGAACCAGCAGUGAUAUAGGGAGCUAUAAUGCUGUCUCCUGGUACCAACAGCUGCAAGGAACAUCCCCCAAACUUCUGAUAUAUGAUGUCAGCAGUCGGCCUUCAGGGAUCCCUGAUCGCUUCUCUGGCUCCAAGUCUGGCAACACGGCAUCCCUGAGCAUCGCUAGACUCCAGGCUGAGGACGAGGCUGAUUAUUACUGCUGUUCAUAUAGGAGUGGUGGCACUAAGCACAGUGACUCAAGUUCAUGGAGAAGUGAGAUCAAAACCUGCACUGAGCUUCUAAGUUCCUCCAUGCUCUGA